GUUCCUUUUUGCAAUAUUUCCAUUUCCAAAUCCGUUAUUAGUGAAAUUCGGAAUAAUUUCCCACUACAUCCAGGUACUCCCUUACAUUUGCAUAGAAACGAGUCGCUGUAGCACAUGUUCGCUUGGAACAUCGAGCAUGCUUGAUGGCAACACUCCCCAUCAGGAAAAUUCCCUCUUUCAUAACAUUCUUGGAGCUCUGGUCUCUGUUAACGGUUUGCAUGCUGCAAGCAUCUUUAACAUGUCUACCGAUGAGGGUCCGCACUUCAGUUUGUCGUGAAAUCUGUAAGACUACGGUUUAGCGGCGGAUAAAUCAGUAAAUUAUUUAGUAAUACACUUAUGUAAAUAUUUAACAAGUAUAAAAAUAUAACACAAAAGGAAUAUGUAAUAGAACAAGGAUUUAACAACACCAAAAAGUGAGAAUUACAUUUUCUGUAUGUGACUAAAUUUUAGUGAGAAAUUAUAAAACAAAUCGGUUGCAAUUUUUUGUUGAAAAUGUUUCAAAUGUACAAAAACAAUACGUGACGUUUUUCCCGCUCUAGGCUAAUUUCAAUAUACCAAAGCCAUCUGCACCAAUCCCAAAUUUGUCAAUUGUCUCAGCGAUGCCAAAACACUUUUAGACUUUAAACUGAUUUUCUGGAAGGAUUUUUUUACGGCUACCAUUUCUUUUUGUUACAGAUUUUUAUGUUAUAAAAAAGGAGUAGAAAAGUAUGCUGAACUGAGCUGCGGAAGCUUCGAUCAUACACAACGUUUAUAUGCACGAUUUUAAAAUUUGAGUCCUGCCCAAUUGGGGAGACAAACAUACUUUGCUCACUCGCUGCCACUCUUUCCUUCUAUCCCUUCUUUACAUUCCAUUACUCAUACUACACUUCUGCUCUCUUUUAUGUGUGCAGUUUACCAAAUGGCCACAUACAAAAGGAGGCCUUCGAUCGAUGAAAGCGGCCCAGGAUCUAGAGGAGUGUUCGAGCACUUUGGUCGGUAACUACAAAACCCGGCGAAGCGGGUAAGUAAAACACGCGAAAGUCAACCCAACUUGGUUUUUUUCCUCCCCUGCCUUUUGUAUGUGCCAUAUGAGUGUUUGGAUCUUUCCAUUUUAUUUUGUAUUCUUUUCUAUUCUGGGUAUUUUAUUGAAUUUUUUCACAUUUUUCAUCAGCAGACGGUGCCGUAGGGCGCGCUUUUGAGGGCUAUUUUGACCUUAAGUUUUUUAGUGGAUGGAAAAAGCUUUCAGCCUCGGGCUGUCGCUGCAGGACUUGUGUAGCUUCUUGUUUGUUUCACUUUUCUCAGUUUUGUGUUUAAAGUUUUAGUAAGGAAGAGCACACAAAACCAAAAAAUUAUAAUUCAAGUUUUGAAACCCAUUAAUCCACUCCCAUUUAUCUUUCUAUAACCCUAUUAUUCCACAGAUUUGUGUCUAGUAAAUUGAAAUUAAUACCCGCAAUAAAUCCACAGGCAGACACUCUAUGACCAAAAUUGUUUCAUCAAUUUGGACCAUCUUAACCACCAGCCACCACAAGGAACCGUUUUUCGUAGAACAAUUAAUUUUCGCACUGUUUCCUCAACCUUAACUAUUCCUUUUUGGGGAGAAUAAAUUAAAAAAUAGACAUGUAGGACAUUUUCCUCAUGCAAUUUAUUUCGUAGAUAAAACACAUAUUAUAAUAUUUUAUUCUAAUGAAGGCCUUCCUGUCAAGUUUUUCUAAAUAAGCCAGUCAAAAUAUUUGCAUACUUGAUUGUACGCUAGAAACUUAAAUGGGGACCAAACAAAAUAUACAAGAAUAUUUUAAACAUUGUAUUAGUGGACGAAAUCUGCACAACAGAACCAAAUCAAGAUAUUACAAUAAGUACAGGAACACAUAGAAUUCAAGGAAUCACGAAAAAGUUUGGCUGGAUUAAAUUAUGAAUACAAAAUAGAGAAGAUUUGAAAAAUCUAUGAAUGGACCUAGUUUGAGAGAAAAUGUUUAUCUUAAAAUGCAAAAGGAAUUUACAUACACAACAAAGCAAAAGUUAUAUUCAAAUCUAAAAUUAAUUGUUAGUGGUCUAAAUGCAGGAUCCGGCUUCUACGGAUGCCAGGACCAACAAGUUCAAGGAAUUACACACAAGCAUCCACAACAGUCACACAAACAUCCUUGGCAUGGCGAAUUUCAAUGCAACUAAUUUAUAUAAUUUGUGUGGGUCUGCUCUAUGCACCUGUAUGUAAUUUCAAGUUUGCUCAUUAGGCUUUAGAUAUGGUAAUUUGAGCGGCAGGACCAUUGGUAGGAAGCCAAACCAAAUCCAUAUGAACAAUUUAUUAGGGUUCAUGCUCCAGUCUGGCCCAACAGCUGGCACAAUUAUCCGUAGUUUAAUGGCAAUGCAAAAUUAUUGUACCUAACUGUCAACUACACACGAAAUACAUAUACAUACAUAUGUACAUAUGUGUUUACAAUCGUUCUUUCGUCUCUUUAUCUCGCCUCUUUCUUUCUUGUCUCUGCUCUGCUGCCGCUCUCUCGCGCGCCAUCACAGCAUUGCUGCCCGCUGUCGCUGUCGCUGUCGCUCACACUAGGGCACGGGCAAUUCGGCCCGCCUGCCCUCCUCUGUCGACGCAUAUACAUACAUACAUUGCUCAAUUGCUGACAUACAAAUCGCGGCCUGUGUAUGAAUCUCGCCUCUCUUUCAGCCUUCCUUAUCGCUUUCUCGAUCUGUCGCUCUCGUUUGCAUGGGCAAUGCUGCCCGUCUGCCCUUCCUGCACAUCGUCGCCGUGAAAAAGCUCGCUAGCUUAACAAUUCCCGUAUGUUCAGUGUCUGAAAUCGAGAUGUUUUCUCACCCACUCCUGACAACUUCCACCGUACAGUAUGCCAAAAUAUGAUUUUGGUAUGGAAUAAGAAAUCAAGACACAAGCUGAUAGCAGUUUGUAAAUGUAAAUAAUUUUGCAAACCUUUUUGGCAAUUUUCCAUUCACAUAUAUUUUAUUUGAGUAGCUCCCAGUCUUUUAACUGCUCGUUACACACCAAGACUACUGGUAUUUUAUGGUACCCUACCUUGUUUGCACACCGUAAAACUAAGUUCCAAAGCUGAAAAAAACCAAACCAAACUGAAACAAACCGAACAGAACCGAGCCGCCUCACAAAUCGUCAGACCCCAGAGAAGGGGAGUCCUUUCGAACAAAAACACACACAAAAAAGUGCUAAAGACUCUGCCAAGCAGAACCAUAGUUUUUGCUGUUCCAUAGCCAGAUGCAACAUUUCUUUUACUUUACCUGGUGCUGAGUGGGUAGAUAUUCUUGUGGCAAUGGCUGUGCUGUCGGCACUACUUGAAGAGAAUUUUCAGGGCAUAUUCCCUGAUUGGGAAUGGCAUUUUUUCCCCCAAGCACAGUAUAUAAUCGCAAAUUGUAUAAGCUGACUAGGAGGCAUAGAGAUAGAAUAGAGGAUGGGGCAUUUUGUGGCCAGCCCAGCGCCCAUCUGUUGACCAAACCAGACUGCUUCCCAUUCUACGCUCCACUCCAUUGCACUGUAGUUCCUUCACCACUUUCACGCAGAGAAAAAACAUAUAUUUUCUUUUUAACUUUAUUAAAUUUACCUGUAUGCUAAAGGUAAAUAAAAGCGCCGACCCUCUUGUCAGCACUUGACCGCCAGCCAACCCGUUCCCAAAUGAGUUUCGGUUGAAGUUGUUCUACUUGAAGGGGUUUUGGGAGUUUACCACUGGUUUUUUUGUAUACAAAAUAUAUUUUUUUGUAUUUUUGGAUCUCUAGCUGUUAUCAUUGAACAUUGAACAUUGCUGGCAUUUUGGACCUUUGGCCCUGGCCGCUGUCUUGAUGCAGAGAAUCUCACGUUGGAAAAGGUAAAUUUUUGCACAAAGUAAAAUCACUUUUAGUCUAUUAACUAAAAUAAUUUCAGAUUUGGUUACAAUGGACAAUUUUAAUCUCGAAGAAGCUGUUCAAGCAUAAAGCAGAAGCCCGAGCUUGAAUUAGAGAAGGAAAAAUAUUAAAAGAAAUGUGAUAACGAAUAAAGAGCUUUAUUUUAAAAUAAGAAAGAAGUAUCUCGAAAUGUUUUUGGUGUUUAAUUCAGCAAAAGUCAGAGCUAGUUUCCCACAAGGGCUUAACAUCUUCGAAUUGCUAG
rnacentral:lncRNA from 1 species